GGGCGGUUAGCUCAGUUGGUUAGAGCAUCUCGUUUACACCGAGAGGGUCGGGGGUUCGAGUCCCUCACCGCCCA
rnacentral:tRNA from 2 species